UGCUUCUUUAUAGCACCGGGGGUUUAUCGCGAGUGGAGCCGCCCGACAGGAAGGAAACCGCUGAUCCCGGGACAGUUCGUUCCAUUUCACACGAGGCUCAGAGCUGAGCGGUCAGGUGCUGAUGUUCAGCUGCAGUGAUGAAAUCUUUACAGAAUAUUCCAAUGAGCCCCCAGGGUGACAGUUGCACUAGUUCUAGGUGUCGUUACUGAACCCCAGUCACAUGAAGCCCAACGACUAAGGACCAUGUGGCCUGACCAUAGAUACGAAUAUUAUCUCCUGUCGCAGACCUGGGCUCUCACUCAUGCGUCGGAUGAACUGCUGCCUCGUAUCUAUGUGCCAAGUGGAUCUCCCAGAUGUGAUGUUUCAGGACGUGUCCCACCUUGGAACAUUGCUCCGUUCUGAUGCAACUGCUGCUCCUGGCUGAGGUGCUGAUGUUCAGCUGCAGUGAUGAAAUCUUUACAGAAUAUUCCAAUAAUCCCCCAGGGUGACCGUUGCACUAGAUUCUCCCCUAUAGAAGUGAGUUGCACGUGGGCAUCGGUACCUACUGAAACUGAGCUGCCUAAAUCUGGACAUUCCCCCUCGGCCUGAAUUCUACUGACUUGUCUUUCCUUUAAUUCUAGGUGUCCUUACUUAACCCCAGUCACAUGAGACUGUUGGCUAAUGAAACCUGUGAGUCGACCCAAGGCUGUGUCCCACCAUACAACGCUGCUCCAUUCAGAUUUAAUUGCCAUAAGGUCAUGUGACUUCUCCUAAACUGCCUUCAACCAGGCCAGAAAGGGAAAGAACUUGAAUUCGAAACCAGCAGCUCAAUGGAUCACUCGCAGCUGGAAUAUUUCCGCCACAUUUGCUGAAUUGAUGCUUAAAGAGAAGAAAUCCGUGGGCAGAGAUACAAUCUCAUCACUUGGAGAGGGGAAGAUGGAUGUUUGAUUCCUUGUCUGCAGCAAAUAAAAUAACCUGUAUAUUGGGUGCCCCAUCUAGAUUGUAAAGCUCCUCUUAAGAACAAUAAAAUUUAAUUAAUUGUAAA